rnacentral:rRNA from 1 species
GAUGAUCGCUAGCUACAGGCUUAACACAUGCAAGUCGAGGGGAAACGACAUCGAAAGCUUGCUUUUGAUGGGCGUCGACCGGCGCACGGGUGAGUAACGCGUAUCCAACCUGCCCUUCACUUGGGAAUAACCUUGCGAAAGUAAGACUAAUGCCCAAUGAUAUCCCACGAAGGCAUCCGAAUGGGAUUAAAGAUUUAUCGGUGAUGGAUGGGGAUGCGUCUGAUUAGCUUGUUGGCGGGGUAACGGCCCACCAAGGCGACGAUCAGUAGGGGUUCUGAGAGGAAGGUCCCCCACAUUGGAACUGAGACACGGUCCAAACUCCUACGGGAGGCAGCAGUGAGGAAUAUUGGUCAAUGGGCGAGAGCCUGAACCAGCCAAGUAGCGUGCAGGAUGACGGCCCUAUGGGUUGUAAACUGCUUUUAUAAGGGAAUAAAGUGAGUCUCGUGAGACUUUUUGCAUGUACCUUAUGAAUAAGGACCGGCUAAUUCCGUGCCAGCCGCCGCCGUAA